rnacentral:ncRNA from 1 species
AUAAUAGGUUGAUUUUCUUCAAGAGUUCACAUCAACAGGAAGGUUUGGCAUCUCAAUUUCCAUGCUUCGACACCUAUAGUAUGUUCCAAGGGUUGGGUUGUUCACCCAUUAAAGCAGUAAGUGAGCUAGAUUCAAAACUUCAGGAGACAAUUU